rnacentral:lncRNA from 1 species
GCCUGUGCCACCGCCUCCGGGCGGGGGGAGCCGCCUGCCCGUCCCAUAAAGGGCGGCCGCGGCCCCUCCGAGGCUCGGUGCGGAGCAGGGCCCGGGUUCUGCCUCUGCACGGCCGCUGGCCCUCACGCAGGUGAGCCGCAGCGACGGGACAGCGCUCCGCUCCCCCGCCGGGCGCCUCCUUCCCCCGGCACAGAGCGUCCAUCCUUUCCUCCGCAGGCUCCUCCCGGAGAAAGCCGGAUUCCCCGUCGAGUCGCUGCCAUGGCCUCCGUCCCGUCCGCCGGCUGCCUCCUGGCCAAAAACCAGUACUACAGGACAAGACUGAACUCGGAAUCCAGCGUUUCUUCCAGCUCCUCCUGCUGUUUGGAUGCUGUGAACAUCACAGACCAGGACAAAGCAUUGCAUGGGUUACCAGAGUUAAUUGAUAAACAUUGGUGGAUAAAAAGCUUCUUCCACAGUGAGCCCUCUCCACCCACUGUUGGCAGAAAAACACUCUCAGCAAGCAGGUGAGUCCUGCUUGUAAAACAGGGGAUAACUUGCUUGCUCUGCUUUCCUUUUGGUAACAGUGUUAGUAAACAAGUCAUAAUCAGCUAAAACCAUCUGGUGAGGUGCAAUGCUGUUUUGAUGAUUUAAGUAGAAUAUACAUCAAGUGUAAUGCUAUGCAACCUUUCUAUGUUUUCAUUUUAACAAAUGAACUCAUAUGCUACUUCACAUUAGGCAGGUGGCAGUGCCUAUUACUGUUUCACACUUAUGGUGAUGUUUAUUUAAUCAUCUACCUGUACAACUUGCACAACCAUUUAUACAGUUUGGCCAUUUUACUUUAUGUUAAAAAGCUGAUAUGAAUGCAUUAAAAAUACUUAGGCAGAUAAAUAAAUGUCUUUGAGGUAAAUACA